AACGAACGCUGGCGGCAGGCUUAACACAUGCAAGUCGAACGCUCCGCAAGGAGAGUGGCAGACGGGUGAGUAACGCGUGGGAAUCUACCUAGUUCUACGGAACAACAGUUGGAAACGACUGCUAAUACCGUAUACGCCCUACGGGGAAAGAUUUAUCGGAAUUAGAUGAGCCCGCGUAAGGUUAGCUAGUUGGUGAGGUA
rnacentral:rRNA from 1 species